UUAACCUCCUGGGGUCCGAAGUACUAAUACUAGGACAAAAUCGGUUUGCAGUGAAAGCCCAAGUAUCAAAAUAGAUACUUGAUGCCAAGACCCAGCGUGAUAGUACUAGGACAAAAUAUUUACACGCUCCAGGUGGAUUUGAAUUACCCGCCAUGUCAUUUUGACGUUACUGGUUAGUCAGUGUAUAUAUUUGGCAUUGUGGCAGCACUGCUUGAAGUGAGCGGGGAGGGAUAUUUUCGGUCUUCUGUCACAAGACGUCGCAGCAAUGACACGUGCAACAAGAAGAGCUUUAAAAGAUAGUCAAGUGUUGGAUUUACUCCAGCAGUCUGAUUUCGAAGACGACGAAGAUGAUCCUUUUGGAGGGAAUGAUACAGACGACGAGUAUAUCCUGUGGAGAACACGGCCAUCGAAAGCGACAGUGACAGCAGUACCAGCUCAGAACCUGUGAGUGCAAGCCCUCCGCCAGCCCCGCAACUUAUUCGAGGACGAGGUCGAGGUCGAUCGUUAUGUUUUUGAUUGUUAAAAUUUACAUUUUGUAAGUGGUUUUUGUAGUUACUGCUUUGUAAAAUUAGACUUAAAUGUAAAUGCUUAUGUUCUAUAUUGGUCUAUUUUUGUAGUGACUAUUUAUGAUCCUUUUUCUGUAGUUUUUAAAUAAAAGAAGAUUAAUUAUGUUAACAAAAAAAUUUCAAAAGGAAUAUUUUGUUGAUUUGAAUGUUAAAAUUUGUUUUUUCUGUAGAAAAUUUAAGUUCCUGCUGUGAAGCAUGCUAUUUUUUUGUAUCUUAGAUGAUAUUAAUGAUGAUUAAGUUGAUUUCUGCUAGUAUAAAGUGUUAAAACUCUUGUUUUCUAUAAGAUUUUCAAGACUGAUUGAUGUGAUUUAUAUUAUAAGUAAAAGCCCAAAGUGCUAAAUAUAGAACAAAAGAUUAUA